GAUGAACGCUAGCGACAGGCUUAACACAUGCAAGUCGAGGGGCAGCAUAAAAGUAGCAAUACUUUGGUGGCGACCGGCGCACGGGUGAGUAACGCGUAUGCAACCUACCUAUCAGAGGGGAAUAACCCGGCGAAAGUCGGACUAAUACCGCAUAAAACAGGGGCACCGCAUGGUGAUAUUUGUUAAAGAAAUUCGCUGAUAGAUGGGCAUGCGUUCCAUUAGGUAGUUGGUGAGGUAACGGCUCACCAAGCCGACGAUGGAUAGGGGAACUGAGAGGUUGGUCCCCCACACUGGUACUGAGACACGGACCAGACUCCUACGGGAGGCAGCAGUGAGGAAUAUUGGUCAAUGGGCGAGAGCCUGAACCAGCCAAGUCGCGUGAAGGAAGAAGGAUCUAUGGUUCGUAAACUUCUUUUGCAGGGGAAUAAAGUGCAGGACGUGUCCUGUUUUGUAUGUACCCUGAGAAUAAGGAUCGGCUAACUCCGUGCCAGCAGCCGCGGUAAACACG
rnacentral:rRNA from 1 species